rnacentral:rRNA from 1 species
AUUGAACGCUGGCGGUAUGCUUAACACAUGCAAGUCGAACGGCAGCAUGAUUUGUAGCAAUACAAAUUGAUGGCGAGUGGCGGACGGGUGAGUAACACGUAGGAAUCUACCCUAAAGCGGGGGAUAACCCGAGGAAACUCGGGCUAAUACCGCAUAAGUUCUGAGGAACAAAGCUGGGUUUACCUGGCACUUUAGGAGGAGCCUGCGUCUGAUUAGCUAGUUGGUGGGGUAAAGGCCUACCAAGGCGACGAUCAGUAGGUGGUCUGAGAGGAUGAUCACCCACACUGGGACUGAGACACGGCCCAGACUCCUACGGGAGGCUG